rnacentral:rRNA from 1 species
GGGUGGUAAUGCCGGAUGCUCCAGUUGAUCGCAUGGUCUUCUGGGAAAGCUUUCGCGGUAUGGGAUGGGGUCGCGUCCUAUCAGCUUGACGGCGGGGUAACGGCCCACCGUGGCUUCGACGGGUAGCCGGCCUGAGAGGGCGACCGGCCACAUUGGGACUGAGAUACGGCCCAGACUCCUACGGGAGGCAGCAGUGGGGAAUAUUGCACAAUGGGCGCAAGCCUGAUGCAGCGACGCCGCGUGAGGGAUGGAGGCCUUCGGGUUGUAAACCUCUUUUAUCGGGGAGCAAGCGAGAGUGAGUUUACCCGUUGAAUAAGCACCGGCUAACUACGUGCCAGCAGCCGCGGUAAUACGUAGGGUGCAAGCGUUAUCCGGAAUUAUUGGGCGUAAAGGGCUCGUAGGCGGUUCGUCGCGUCCGGUGUGAAAGUCCAUCGCUUAACGGUGGAUCCGCGCCGGGUACGGGCGGGCUUGAGUGCGGUAGGGGAGACUGGAAUUCCCGGUGUAACGGUGGAAUGUGUAGAUAUCGGGAAAA